rnacentral:tRNA from 1 species
GGAGUUGUGGCUCAGUGGUAGAGUACUCGCCUAGCACACGAGAGGUGCUGGGUUUGAACCUCAGCACCA